rnacentral:rRNA from 1 species
GAGGCUUCGACAAUGACCGAAAGGUUGAUCGAGCGACGCCGCGUGUGGGAUGAAGGUCUUAGGAUUGUAAAAUUCUUUCACCGGGGAAGAUAAUGACGGUACCCGGAGAAGAAGCCCCGGCUAACUUCGUGCCAGCAGCCGCGGUAAUACGAAGGGGGCUAGCGUUGCUCGGAAUUACUGGGCGUAAAGGGCGCGUAGGCGGACAGUUAAGUUAGAGGUGAAAGCCCAGGGCUCAACCUUGGAAUUGCCUUUGAUACUGGCUGUCUUGAGUUCGGGAGAGGUGAGUGGAAUGCCGAGUGUAGAGGUGAAAUUCGUAGAUAUUCGGCGGAACACCAGUGGCGAAGGCGACUCACUGGCCCGAUACUGACGCUGAGGCGCGAAAGCGUGGGGAGCAAA